UACGAAGGGGGCUAGCGUUGUUCGGAAUUACUGGGCGUAAAGCGCACGUAGGCGGGCUAUUAAGUCAGGGGUGAAAUCCCGGAGCUCAACUCCGGAACUGCCUUUGAUACUGGUAGUCUAGAGAUCGGAAGAGGUUAGUGGAAUUCCCAGUGUAGAGGUGAAAUUCGUAGAUAUUGGGAAGAACACCAGUGGCGAAGGCGGCUAACUGGUCCGAUACUGACGCUGAGGUGCGAAAGCGUGGGGAGCAAACAGGAUUAGAUACC
rnacentral:rRNA from 1 species